GGGAGGGUGGGUGAUGGGUAUUGAGGAGGGCACCUUUUGGGAUGAGCACUGGGUGUUGUAUGGAAACCAAUUUGUCAAUAAAUUUCAUAUAUAAAAAAAAAAAAAAGAAAAGAAAAUGUGGCCUUGAAGUGUGAAGUCUUUCCUUCAUGCUCAAUUCACAAAUUUGCUUGCACUUUUACUUCUUUAAAAAUGUUUUAAACAUUUUUGAGACAGACUGCGAGUGGGGGAGGGGCAGAGAGAGAAGGAGACACCGAAUUCGAAGCAGGAUCCAGGCUCUGAGUUCUCAGGACAGAGCCCUACCUGGGGCUCAAACCCACAAACUGAGAGAUCAUGACCUGAACCGAAGUCAGGCUUGACUGAGCCACUCAGGCGCCCCCACGUGCGCUUUUAGGAAAAGGAUUGUUGGGGCGCCUGGGUGGCUCAGUUGGUUUAAGCAUCCGACUUCAGCUCAGGUCGUGGGGGUUGAUGCGUUUGAGUCCCCCCAUGGGACUCUGCGGUCAGCACUUCAGAUCCUCUGUCCCCUCUCUCUGGCCCUCCCCUGCUUGUGCGCACUCUCCCUCUCCGUGUCUUAAAAGAAAUAAACUUAAAAAAUGUAUUUAAAGAAACGAUGGUUUACUUACAGAUUCAAAGUCAUACUCCCAAGAGUUGCGUGUAUUUUGCCUCCUGUGCGGCAGUUUCCCUGAUUAUUUAAAUGAGCAGCCAGGCCCCAAACGCAGCUGGUUGGCUAGCCUCAGUGCCAUCAAAGGGAACGGAGCCUCACUGCGAUUGCGUGCAGUUGGCUUGGCCGAGGCUCCCUGCCCUCCGGUACAACUCAGGGAGGCACACGCUUAGCAUUUUAAUCACACUUCGGCCAACCUUCGAAGCUGGCAUGGGGGGAGGGGGGAAAAUCAACUUCCUGCUGGCUUUCAAGUUUGACGACAGAACGGCCACACCAAAUGAACUUGCAGCCCUGCCGCUCUCGGUGGCCUUCCUGGCCCGGCUGGAGUCAGGUGACAUCCGUGCCCUCGGCUGGUGGCCAGGGGCUGGCGGAGAGAGAAUGUACAGCAGCCGACGAAUUCCCCGGGGGUGUUCUGUCCAGCGCCGGACUUCGAGGACUUGCCCAAAAUAG
rnacentral:lncRNA from 1 species